rnacentral:rRNA from 1 species
GGUAACUUAGUCUUAUAUUCAUUAUUAAUGGAUCACACGCCUACUCAUCAGUAUUUAAUGCAUAAGAAGAGUUUAUUUUAUCUCCCCGUCACCCCAACCAAACAAUUUUAGUUUAAACCUCAACUCUCCCUAAAUCUAUUUAUUACCUAUUAAUUGUCAAACUCUAUAGGGUCUUCUCGUCCUCCAAUCCUAUUUUAGCCUUUUAACUAAAAAGUUAAAUUUUAACCCAAUCCUCACGAGACAGUCAACACCUCGUCCAACCAUUCAUGCCAGCCUCUAAUUAAGAGACUAAUGAUUAUGCUACCUUUGCACGGUCAAAAUACCGCGGCCCUUCAAGUUUUCAGUGGGCAGGCUAGACCUCUUAUAUUUUCAAGAAGCGAUGUUUUUGAUAAACAGGCGAGCAUUAAUUUGCCGAAUUCCUUAUAAAGACCUUUCCUAGAACACUUAUUCUUACAACACCCUUAUAUUAAUUUUACCAUUAUUACCCAUUUCUUUCUAUUGUAAAUGACACUUUGAUACAUAAAUUAAACCUCUCAAAAUUAAACUUUUCUUCAAUAAACUAUAACGUUAUUACUAGUUGGCUGAUUUCAAGCCUACACUUAUAAGUCCUAAUUCUAAUUAUAAACGUAUCUUUAAGCUUAUCCCCCAAAAUAUUAGUAACAACCACCUAAACCAAUCCACAAUUACCAGUUUAACACCCCCCUACCUGAAUUCAAUUCAUUUCUCAAAGAACUAGAAACCUUUAAGUUCGUUUAACAUCUCAUUCCUAAAAUAAUAUCAAUGAUAAAUUUGUAACUUUAACCACUCUAUCCUUUUAGCUCACUUAAAAUCGAGAAAACAAAAUUUAUCCUUUCAUUUAAUAAACCCUGAUACACAAGGUACAACAUUCAAUCUACUUUUCACUAACUCUUAUUUUCACUUAUUUCAACUUUCCUUCUCAGUACUAACUUUAUUAUUUAUUCUAUAAUUUCUUUACCCAAUACUCAUCCUUUUAUAUUUAUAUUGAUUCACCUAUUUAACCCUAAUUACACACACACUUCUUAAUUAGUAUACUUUUCAAAAUAAAUUGAAUUGCACAACAACCUUUCAAUGUAAAUGAAAUGCUUUACUCAACAAGCUCUA